rnacentral:lncRNA from 1 species
UUUUUUUCACAAGAGCUUUUUAUUCAAUCCCUAGAAUGUUCACAACGGCUUUAAAUUACUGCAUGUAUGCUAAAACCUGUCUACAGAACUAAUUUUACAAAGACAUAACAUUUUUACAGAUCCUCAAAAUUCAAAAUUUAUUACAGUUAACUUAGUUAAAAAAGGUAAAGAGGGGGUUCCUGUCGUGGCGCAGUGGUUACCGAAUCCGACUAGGAACCAUGAGGUUGCGGGUUCGGUCCCUGCCCUUAAUCAGUGGGUUAACGAUCCGGCAUUGCUGUGAGCUGUGUGGUUAACGAGUCCGACUAGGAACCAUGAGGUGGCGGGUGCCAUCCCUGGCCUCGCUCAGUUGAGGAUCCAGCGUUGCCGUGGGCUGUGGUGUAGGUCACAGACGUGGCUCAGAUCCUGAGCUGCUGUGGCUUUGGCGUAGGCCGGCAGCUACAGCUCCGACUGGACCCCUAGCCUGGGAACCUCCAUAUGCCGCAGGAAGCAGCCCAAGAAAUGGCAAAAAGACAAAAAAAAAUCUAGGUGUUAAAUGCUGGAAAGGGUGUGUUGAAAAGGGAACCCUCCUCCAUGUUGGUGGGACUGUAAAUUGGUACAACCACUACCGAAAACAGUAAGGAAGUACAUCAGAAAACUAUACACAGAACUACCGUAUGACCCAGCAACCCCAUUCUUGCGCACAUAUCCGGACAGAACUUUCCUUGAAAAAGAUACAUGCACCCGUAUGUUCACUGCAGCACUAUUCACAAUAGCCAAGACAUGGAAACAACCUAAAUGUCCAUCAACAGAUGAUUGGAUUAGAAAGAUGUGGUGUAUAUGCACAAUGGAAUACUACUCAGCCAUAAAAAAGACAAAAUAAUGCCAUUUGCAGCAACAUGUAUGGAACUAGAGACUCUCAUGCUAAGUGAAGUAAGUCAGAAAGAGAAGGACAAAUACCAUAUGAUAUCACUUAUAUCUGGAAUCUAAUGUAUGGCACAAAUGAAUCUUUCCACAGAAAAGAAACUCAUGGACAUGGAGAACAGGCUGUGGUAGCUGGAGGGGGCUGGGGGGGGAUGGACUGGGAAUUUGGUAUUAAUAGAUGCAAACUACUGCCUCUGAAAUGGAUAAGCAAUGAGAUCCUUCUGUAUAGUACUGGGAACUAUAUCUAGUCACUUAUGAUGGAGCAUGAUAAUGUGAGAAAAAAAUGUAUACAUGUAUGUGUGACUGGGUCACUUUGCUAUACAGUAGAAAAUGGACAGAAAAACUGUAAACCAGCUAUAACGAAAAAAUAAAAAUCAUUAUUUAAAAAAAUCAAGUGUUAAAUGUUCAUUUCUGUAUGCCUAAAAUUAUUCAUAACAGUAUGAUUGGGGGCAGGGGAGUAGACAGAGCCUGGUGAGGACUUUGUAAAACUGGAAAGUGUUUCUAGACAGCAUCUCCUAUUCAGAUUCUGUCAGAUAU